rnacentral:rRNA from 1 species
UACGUAGGUGUCAAGCGUUGUCCGGAUUUAUUGGGCGUAAAGCGCCCGCAGGCGGCUUGCCAAGUUCGAUGUGAAAUCUCCCGGCUCAACUGGGAGGGUGCAUCGAAAACUGGCAGGCUUGAGGCAGGGAGAGGGAUGUGGAAUUCCAGGUGUAGUGGUGAAAUGCGUAGAUAUCAGGAGGAACACCGGUGGUGUAGACGGCUUUCUGGACCGUAACUGACGCUGAGACACGAAAGCGUGGGUAGCAAACAGG